UACGUAGGGUGCGAGCGUUAAUCGGAAUUACUGGGCGUAAAGCGUGCGCAGGCGGUUCGUUGUGUCUGAUGUGAAAGCCCCGGGCUCAACCUGGGAAUGGCAUUGGAAACUGGCGAGCUGGAGUGUGGCAGAGGGGGGUGGAAUUCCCGGUGUAGCGGUGAAAUGCGCAGAUAUCGGGAGGAACACCGGUGGCGAAGGCGGUUCUCUGGGCCUGUACUGACGCUGAGGAGCGAAAGCGUGGGGAGCGAACAGG
rnacentral:rRNA from 1 species